rnacentral:rRNA from 1 species
CAGUAGCCGCGGUAAUACGAAGGGUGCAAGCGUUACUCGGAAUUACUGGGCGUAAAGCGUGCGUAGGUGGUGGUUUAAGUCCGUUGUGAAAGCCCUGGGCUCAACCUGGGAAUUGCAGUGGAUACUGGGUCACUAGAGUGUGGUAGAGGAUAGUGGAAUUUCCGGUGUAGCAGUGAAAUGCGUAGAGAUCGGAAGGAACAUCUGUGGCGAAGGCGACUAUCUGGGCCAACGCUGACACUGAGGCACGAAAGCGUGGGGAGCAAACAGGAUUAGAUACCCGCGUAGUCCCUGUCUCUUAUAU